UUAUGCCUCCGGCCGUCCAUCGUUACCCCACGCGCGAGGUAAGUUUUUCCCCUUUCCUUACGGUGACAAAAAACAUCAUUUUCUGUUCAUGGGAUUAGGACCUAGCCCACUCCGCCAUCUCCCCAGAUCCUAUUCCGCGACUAACAUGCGGCAUGGUAGUGAGUGGCAGGCGUGAGCGCGACGGCUCGGUGGUCGGCGCGGGGAGCGGCGGUUGACCCGGUAGGGGAGCGACGGCGUGCUGCUCGAUGGGCUAACUCGGCGGCAAUAUCAUUGACCACGGCGGCAAGGUGAGCGGGGCGGGGCCUCGGUGUUGGGAAGCAUGGCGUGUGGUGGUCGGCUGGCCAUGGCGGCGGUUAAAUUGGUGGUCGCGGCUGCACUUGUUAGAUCGUACGUGCUCUCCUCCAGCCAUGGCUUCUUGCCCCCGUACGCUCUGAUAACUUAUAUCUCCGGCCAAAAGCUCACCUUGAUGUCCUCACGGACUGGAGAUCCAUGACUAAGAGCUCUCCUCAAUGUAUGCAGGUACUGCCCAG
rnacentral:rRNA from 1 species